rnacentral:rRNA from 1 species
CUGACCCCAUGCCGAACUCAGCAGUGAAACGCCGUAGCGCCGAUGGUAGUGUGGGGUCUCCCCAUGUGAGAGUAGGGAACUGCCAGAC